AGUGAACGCUGGCGGUAGGCCUAACACAUGCAAGUCGAACGGCAGCACAGUAAGAGCUUGCUCUUACGGGUGGCGAGUGGCGGACGGGUGAGGAAUACAUCGGAAUCUACUUUUUCGUGGGGGAUAACGUAGGGAAACUUACGCUAAUACCGCAUACGACCUACGGGUGAAAGCAGGGGAUCUUCGGACCUUGCGCGAUUGAAUGAGCCGAUGUCGGAUUAGCUAGUUGGCGGGGUAAAGGCCCACCAAGGCGACGAUCCGUAGCUGGUCUGAGAGGAUGAUCAGCCACACUGGAACUGAGACACGGUCCAGACUCCUAAGGGAGGCAGCAGUCGGGAAUAUUGGACAAUGGGCGCAAGCCUGAUCCAGCCAUACCGAGUGGGUGAAGAAGGCCUUCGGGUUGUAAAGCCCUUUUGUUGGGAAAGAAAAGCAGCAGGUUAAUACCCCGCUGUUCUGACGGUAACCAAAGAAUAAGCACCGGCUAACUUCGUG
rnacentral:rRNA from 1 species